rnacentral:rRNA from 1 species
AUCCGUUUCCCAUAAGGCUGAGCUGUGAUGGCGAGCGAAAUAUAGUAGCGAAGUUCCUGAUUCCACACUGCCAAGAAAAGCCUCUAGCGAGGUGAGAGGUGCCCGUACCGCAAACCGACACAGGUAGGCGAGGAGAGAAUCCUAAGGUGAUCGAGAGAACUCUCGUUAAGGAACUCGGCAAAAUGACCCCGUAACUUCGGGAGAAGGGGUGCUCUGUUAGGGUGCAAGCCCGAGAGAGCCGCAGUGAAUAGGCCCAGGCGACUGUUUAGCAAAAACACAGGUCUCUGCGAAGCCGUAAGGCGAAGUAUAGGGGCUGACGCCUGCCCGGUGCUGGAAGGUUAAGAGGAGCGCUUAGCGUAAGCGAAGGUGCGAAUUGAAGCCCCAGUAAACGGCGGCCGUAACAAUAACGGUCCUAAGGUAGCGAAAUUCCUUGUCGGGUAAGUUCCGACCCGCACGAAAGGCGCAACGAUCUGGGCACUGUCUCAACGAGAGACUCGGUGAAAUUAUAGUACCUGUGAAGAUGCAGGUUACCCGCGACAGGACGGAAAGACCCCGUGGAGCUUUACUGCAGCCUGAUAUUGAAUGUUGGUACAGCUUGUACAGGAUAGGUAGGAGCCUUGGAAACCGGAGCGCCAGCUUCGGUGGAGGCAUCGGUGGGAUACUACCCUGGCUGUAUUGACCUUCUAACCCGCCGCCCUUAUCGGGCGGGGAGACAGUGUCAGGUGGGCAGUUUGACUGGGGCGGUCGCCUCCUAAAAGGUAACGGAGGCGCCCAAAGGUUCCCUCAGAAUGGUUGGAAAUCAUUCGCAGAGUGUAAAGGCACAAGGGAGCUUGACUGCGAGACCUACAAGUCGAGCAGGGACGAAAGUCGGGCUUAGUGAUCCGGUGGUUCCGCAUGGAAGGGCCAUCGCUCAACGGAUAAAAGCUACCCCGGGGAUAACAGGCUUAUCUCCCCCAAGAGUCCACAUCGACGGGGAGGUUUGGCACCUCGAUGUCGGCUCAUCGCAUCCUGGGGCUGUAGUCGGUCCCAAGGGUUGGGCUGUUCGCCCAUUAAAGCGGUACGCGAGCUGGGUUCAGAACGUCGUGAGACAGUUCGGUCCCUAUCCGUCGCGGGCGCAGGAAAUUUGAGAGGAGCUGUCCUUAGUACGAGAGGACCGGGAUGGACGCACCGCUGGUGUACCAGUUGUUCUGCCAAGGGCAUCGCUGGGUAGCUAUGUGCGGACGGGAUAAGUGCUGAAAGCAUCUAAGCAUGAAGCCCCCCUCAAGAUGAGAUUUCCCAUUCCGCAAGGAAGUAAGAUCCCUGAAAGAUGAUCAGGUUGAUAGGUCUGAGGUGGAAGUGUGGCGACACAUGGAGCUGACAGAUACUAAUCGAUCGAGG